rnacentral:rRNA from 1 species
GGGGGGGGGGGGGGGGGGGGGGGGGGGGGGGGGGGGGGGGGGGUGGGGGGGGGUGGCUGCGGGGGGGAGCGGCGGACGGGGGAGUAAUGCCUGGGAGGCGGCCUGGGAGGGGGGGAUAACGUCCGGGAACGGGAGCUGAGUGCGCAUAGGUCCGGGGGGGGGACGUGGGGGUGCUUCGGACCGCACGCUAGCUGAUGGGCCUAGGUCGGAUUAGCUAGUUGGUGGGGUAAAGGCCUACCAAGGCGACGAUCCGUAACUGGUCUGAGAGGAUGAUCAGUCACACUGGAACUGAGACACGGUCCAGACUCCUACGGGAGGCAGCAGUGGGGAAUAUUGGACAAUGGGCGAAAGCCUGAUCCAGCCAUGCCGCGUGUGUGAAGAAGGUCUUCGGAUUGUAAAGCACUUUAAGUUGGGAGGAAGGGCAGUAAGUUAAUACCUUGCUGUUUUGACGUUACCAACAGAAUAAGCACCGGCUAACUUCGUG